GGCUCCAGCAUACCUCCACCCUGAGAUGUCCUCACACAUCAGACGCUGACCUAGCAGAGCCCACACUAUCUUCCAGUAAAGAAGAACCUGCCCUUACAGAGAACUGGGCGCGCAGCACUGCAGUAGCACCUUAAGGACAGCAGCACAGUGUCCUGGACUUGCCACCAGUGUCAACUCUGAGUGUAGACACAACUGAAACUGUUCCUUCAUACACAUGCAGUUCAGCUUUCAGACACUCAACAAGAGCCUUGACACCCUCAAGCUGGGGUGAGGACACAGUGAGGAGGUGCCAUCUAUGAACGAAAAAGCUGGUUCUCAGCAGACACCAAAUCUGCUGCCACCUUGAUUUGGACUUCUCAACCUCUAGAACACUGAAAAAUAUAUCUGUUGUUCAUAAGCAA
ensembl:lncRNA novel transcript